GUGAGGAAUAUUGCGCAAUGGCCGAAAGGCUGACGCAGCGACGCCGCGUGGAGGAUGAAGUCCGUUAGGACGUAAACUCCUUUUGUAGGGGAUGAAUGCGUUGCUACAUGCAACGUGUGACCGUACCCUGCGAAUAAGGAUCGGCUAACUACGUGCCAGCAGCCGCGGUAAUACGUAGGAUCCGAGCGUUGUCCGGAAUUACUGGGUGUAAAGGGCGUGUAGGUGGACCUCUAAGUCGGUGGUGAAAUCCUGCAGCUUAACUGUAGAAUUGCCGUCGAUACUGGGGGUCUUGAGUGCGGAAGAGGGAGAUGGAAUUCAUGGUGUAGCGGUGAAAUGUGUAGAUAUCAUGAAGAACACCGGUAGCGAAGGCGGUCUCCUGGUCCGAUACUGACACUGAGGCGCGAAAGCGUGGGGAGCAAACAGGAUUAGAAACCCCAGUAGUCC
rnacentral:rRNA from 1 species